ensembl:lncRNA
GAGAGAGGGAGAGGAGUAGCUUCCAUGGAGGAAUAUAGAUGACAUUCAAAUGAAUUAUGUUUCUUCUAGGUUUAAUACUUAGAAGAUGGCAAUAUCUGUUAACCUCCUGAACCAUCCUUUCUGCUUACUGAAAAAUAUAUCAGAUCAGAGAAAUAUAUUCAAAAGAAGACCAUGUUUGACUCUGAAAACCUGAUAAAUUAAGUAUGUUUCUAAAUGUAGAUUAAAGCACUCGAGGAAGGAGCAGAGGAAGGGAAGAAGACUCCAGAAUACCAUCAUUACCAUCAUCUAAUUUCACAGACCAGGGAAAUAAUAUUGUGACAACGAUUUGCAUAGGGACAGGUUUUGGAGGGAACAAUAGUACCAUUGAGAGGAUUUUAUCUUCCAGAUAUCUCACUGUGAGGACAUGAAUAAGGAGUCCACAUGGUAUAUAGUUGACCCUGGUAAUUUCUGAUUCAUUUAGGAUUUUGGACAAAUCUUGAUCAAAUCUCAGACACUUCUUUUAGGAAUCACAGUUUUGAGAGAAAUACUCUUUAAAGUCAUAGAGGGCUAUUGCAAGAAACUACAUAAGAUAACGUGGCCACAAUGUAGUUGUCAAAAACGGAUUUGUUGUCAUAUUUUAGUUUAAAGGUAAAAAGGUCAGUAGUGGAACGUCAACUAGGCAACAAAAUCUCAGUUUCCCCAUUUGUAAUUCGUAUUUUAAGUGAAAAAUCCC